GGAAGAAAACGAGAACAGACAACGCGUCUGUUCUGAUUUGGGGUUUUUAAUAAACCCCAAAACUUACAUGGCGGAUUUCCGCCAUGUAAGUACACUUAAGUGCCGCCAUGUAAGGUGGAAAAAUCCGCCCAAUCGAAAUUUGGGCGGGCUUUUUCCGCCCGAGUCCCCCGAAUACUUAAGAUGGCGGAUUUCCGCCAUCUUAAGUCAAUUUAAUCGGGUAAUCGGGUUAUUGUUUGGGGGAGAUUCGAAAUUUUGGGCGGGAUAGUUUAGAUGGCGGAUUUCCGCCAUCUAAACACCGCCAUCGAAAAUAAAAUGGAACCGCCGUCGAGCCCAACCCUUUCCUCGGCGGACUGAAAGAAUAGAUGGCGGACAUCCGCCAUCUAAACAACUGAAGUAUUGAUGGCGGAUUUCCGCCAUCUAAAGGCCGCCAUACAAGGUCCUUUUUUUUGUAGUGA
rnacentral:lncRNA from 1 species